UGAAGAAAACUAGCACGAUAAAUUGUUCCAAUAAUUUCUUAAUAAAAUCAGCAAUCCACUAUAUCAGUAGUACAAGAUAGCUGGUGAACUACCACAACUUGAAUAACAGACUAUCAAUACGAAUUAUUAGCGCAUUAAGAAAAAGGUCUGUCCUCCAUCCUCAAAUCGACUUCAAUCAAUCAAGGGCUUAGCAAUUUCCAAUCAUUAAUCAACUAAGUGCACCCAACCCAUUCUUGAUAAAGAAAAUCUUUAAACUAAACUCAAGCAAUCAGAAGCUUUAGCCCAAACUCAAGCAGUAAGCAAGAAUCAUCCAAAAACCGCAACUUUGAAGAAUUCCUAAAAAUGUAAUUAACCUUCGUAUCAUCCUCCUUCUUCUGCAAUAACUGGUUCAAAAUUCUCAAACAGUCCGCGAACUUCCCAGUCUGAAACAGCACAGCAGCCUCCUUAGCAAGACCCUCCGCGAACAGAGCACCGUCGUCCUCCCCCGCCGCCGCGGACGGCGAUCCGUCUCUUGUAGUCAAUGCCACUGACGAAGAGGGGGAAUCCAUUGACACGCAGAUCGAUGAAAAAAAAAACCCUAGGCGAGUAAAAAACCCUCAGUCACAGCUACUGCAGAAUUCGCAUGCGAAUCCGAAUUUCAAGUCGGAGUUAGGAAAAUACUAAACCCUAGAGAUAAAUGCAGGCUUCAGGAGGAUAUACAUACACAAACAUGUACGCAUAUAUUUUUAUUGAGCCUGUAUGUAUCUAUUGCGAUGCGUUGAUUUAGAAAGAGAAAGAGUGGAGGCGGAGAUGGAUUUAGCAAAUUGGGGAUGGGAUGGGUGAGAAAAUCUAGAUAGAUAAUCAUAAUUGAGGCACUUUUAAUUACUUGCAAACAUAUUUCAU
rnacentral:lncRNA from 1 species